CUUUUUGAGGCCAAAAAUUAACUUGUGAGCAAUUAUUUUAUUUUUUCCCCCACAUUCAGUUUACCUUUCUGGAAAUUAGUAUGUUUUAGGUACAUUUAUUUUUCCACCAUUUCACAAAACCAGGGUUGAAUGUUGGCAACUUGGAAGAGACAUUGUGUCAACUUUCAAGUGGGUGUCCCUAUGGAGAUGCAGUUGUCCAUCUAUGGUAUAGCUCACUUCUCAAAGUUUUUGUGAGCAUCAAUUAUUUUCCGACGCACCUCCCGGUUCCUGGCCCUUUUUUCUUCAUACUCUUUCUUUAAGCACUUCCGCAUCUCACGGUCGAUA
rnacentral:lncRNA from 1 species